rnacentral:tmRNA from 1 species
GGGGAUGAAUUGAUUCGACAAUGGGAACAAGUUAUACGCAUGCGGAUCGGUGAAUACUGGAGAACACCUUAAACCUCGAGCACUGAAACGUGCAAACGCUUCUAUAAAGAGCCCUUACCAACAGUUCGCUUUUGCGACUGCGUAAGCAACCUCUUCCGUUCCCGCUUCGGCCAGAACGGCGCUACACUUUUGAUGUCUAAUACGGAGUUUGUAGUGUCAUAACAUUAGACUUUAUUCUUCUCUACUGCUCGUAGAAAAGAAUGAAAUUGAAGAGCUCGGUUGAAAAAGUUUUUGUCUACUUUUAAUCUUUUCAAUCUAAACUUCAAAGGAGACUAUGUUCCGUAGCAUUGCUUUAACUUCUCUCAUUGGACGGGAGCUCAUUACUCCCCAUCUCCACAU